AGAGAGAGAGAGAAGAGAGAAACAUCAGUUGCUUGCCCCUCAUUUGCACCAUGACCAAGGAUGGAGCUCACAACCUAGAUGUGCAAAUGAAGACUCACACUGCUGUAGUACCUGCGGCAAGGACACAUUAUCUGCUACCAGGCAUUGCCCCCAUGCAGAUAUGAUAACAAUGAGACCUGCUGGUGGGACUGAGGACAUGUUUCAUUGCCUGGAAACUGGAGACACUGGGUUCACGGCAGUAAAAACAGAUUCAUCUUGGGCAAGAGGGUGAAAGGAAGGGAGUGUAAGAAGACUGCCAUAGAAAACCACUACUUUGCUAUUACAGAGACCAUGAGCCAAGAGUUUGCAAGCUCCAUGGAUGAAGGAAACAAGGCGAAAGAUCACCAGUUUAUGAAACAAGAACUAGAUUUCAUAUUUGGAAGCUGGCUCCUAUAUGUUCUUUUUAAAGCAUCCCAGGUCUUCAAGAGUACUUAGAUAAUCAUAAACUUGGAGAUGACAAAGGGCAGAAGUGGUGCCACUCUCCAUCUGUGCCCAGGGCAGACAUUAAUAAUCAAUUCCAGUAUUCUUUAUCACUAAUCAGGGAGGCUGACUUGAGACUCUAGAAGCCUCCACCAAUUAACCGAGUUGGAGUUGGCAAGUAAGAUGAAACAAGUUUGCUCUUCUACCCUAAUCAACCCUUUUGUUGUACAAAAGAAGUGAUCAAGACACAGAGAGAAGAAGCAACCUGACAGAGGUAGCACUGAAUGUUCACAUUAAUAAGUCCUCUUCCAGCUUUGCCGCUACCCAGACUACAGUUCUUUUUGCUCAGCCCCCGUCUUGUGCGUCUCUGUGAGAAGUUCUGAGGUGUCUGAUUACCUGAAAGAGGGUUCAGAGAAUUAAAUCUGGGAGCUUUGAUUUCCCGCCACUGCAGACUUUCCAUCAGUAUUUAUGUAAUGGGCCA